UACGUAGGGGGCAAGCGUUGUCCGGAAUCAUUGGGCGUAAAGAGCGUGUAGGCGGCCCGAUAAGUCCGCUGUGAAAGUCCAGGGCUCAACCCUGGAAUGCCGGUGGAUACUGUCGGGCUCGAAUCCGGAAGAGGUGAGUGGAAUUCCUGGUGUAGCGGUGAAAUGCGUAGAUAUUGGGAGGAACACCAGUGGCGAAGGCGGCUCACUGGACCGGUACUGACGCUGAUGCGCGAAAGCGUGGGGAG
rnacentral:rRNA from 1 species